rnacentral:rRNA from 1 species
ACAUACGACCAUAGACUCAAGAGAAUUGGGCAUCCCGUCCGCUCUGCCAUACACAAGCUUGAGAUCGGUGGAUUAGUAGUUGGGUGGGUGACCACCAGCGAAUACCCACUGUUGUAUAUU